GAGAGUGCGGGGGCUCCGGUGAGUCCCUCGGUCUUCAAAACCGUUGACGGGGCGCUUACGCGUUCCGUGGUGGGUUCGACUCCCAUGCACUCUCGCA
rnacentral:tRNA from 1 species